rnacentral:rRNA from 1 species
CCUACGGGAGGCAGCAGUGAGGAAUAUUGGUCAAUGGGCGAGAGCCUGAACCAGCCAAGUCGCGUGAAGGAUGAAGGAUCUAUGGUUUGUAAACUUCUUUUAUAUGGGAAUAAAGUGAGGAACGUGUUCCUUUUUGUAUGUACCAUAUGAAUAAGCAUCGGCUAACUCCGUGCCAGCAGCCGCGGUAAUACGGAGGAUGCGAGCGUUAUCCGGCUUUAUUGGGUUUAAAGGGUGCGUAGGUGGUUAAUUAAGUCAGCGGUGAAAGUUUGGGGCUCAACCAUAAAAUUGCCGUUGAAACUGGUUGUCUUGAGUAUAUUUGAGGUAGGCGGAAUGCGUGGUGUAGCGGUGAAAUGCAUAGAUAUCACGCAGAACUCCGAUUGCGAAGGCAGCUUACUAAACUAUAACUGACACUGAAGCACGAAAGCGUGGGGAUCAAACAGGAUUAGAUACCCCGGUAGUC